UCUGGAUUAUAAACUUAUUUACCUGAGCACUAUGAAUAGAAGAUUCUGUGUUAAUUUAAAACUCAAAAGGCUUGGCGGUGUUUUAGACUUUUCAGGGGAACCUGUCUCUUAAUCGAUAGUCCACGAUAGACCUAACUUUAUUUUAGGGUAUGUAUACCGUCGUCAACAGGUGACUUUUAAAAAAAUAAAAGUUAGCAAGUAAAAAAAUUUAUUUUUUAUGUCAGAUCAAGGUGCAGCUUAUAAAAAAGUGAGGAUGGGUUACAAUUAAUAAAAUUUUAAUUACGAAGAUGUUGAUGAAAUUCAUAUUUGAAGGAGGACUUGAAAGUAAAAAUUUAAUUAUAUAGACGUUUUGAAUAUAGCUCUGAAACGUGCACACAUCGCCCGUCGCUCUCGUUGAAAAAUGAGAUAAGUCGUAACAUAGUAAUGGUAACGGAAGUUGUCGUUAGAUG
rnacentral:rRNA from 1 species